rnacentral:rRNA from 1 species
GACGUAGGUGGCGAGCGUUGUCCGGAUUUACUGGGCGUAAAGAGCGCGCAGGCGGUCGUUCAAGUCGCGUGUGAAAGCCCCCCGGCUCAACUGGGGAGGGUCACGCGAUACUGAUCGACUCGAAGGCAGGAGAGGGAAGUGGAAUUCCCGGUGUAGUGGUGAAAUGCGUAGAUAUCGGGAGGAACACCAGUGGCGAAGGCGACUUCCUGGCUGUUCUUGACGCUGAGGCGCGAAAGCAUGGGGAGCGAACAGG